rnacentral:lncRNA from 1 species
UGAAGUAGAAGAAGGGUUUUCAGACAGGCGUGGUUCAGUUUAAAUAGCUGCGGGAAUAUUGCUGAGUUUCACCAAAACCCUAAUUGCUGCUGCUGCUGCUGUCGUUUUCAUGUAUGCUGGUUUUGAGAGGUUAAGCUGCCAGCUUGAUCUGAUUACAACAACACCUCCAUUUUUGAGAUUUUAAACGCUUCAUAAAUCUGGCCAUUUUGAAUCCCAUUUUCUUCUUCUUCCUUUUUUCAGAAAAUGAAAAGAAAAUUAUAUUUGAUUAAUUUCAAGAAUUGGUUCCACUGAUCAGGUCAUCUGGCAGCUUCAAUCACUCACCAACAAUACAAUUAAGGAUCGAAAUGGAUCUCUUAAUUACUUAUCAUCAUAUCCACCUUACUAAUCCAACGGGUAAGUAUUUUGUUUCCUUUAAUUAUUAGUUAAUAUUGUUCAAUUAGUCUAUGUUUAUACGUCUAAUAGGUGUAUAUGAAUAAUUGCUCUGGAUCUGUAUAGCUUCUGUUCAUCCCUUUCAUGCAAACAGAUUAUCGUGCACUCUCUCUCCCUCUGAUAAUCAGACGUAAAGAAUAAAAUUAAUUAAAUCUGUAUAUUCUUGCACUUCGUUUUUGUUGUUUUAAAUUUAAAUCACCUGAAAAUUAGUUAAAACAAAUUAAUUAACAUUCACAAAAACAUUAUAUUCUUCAAGCUGCACAAGUGUGCUGGAUAAUUUCUAGCUUUUGUGCGCUGGAUAAUUUAAACUCGGGCCAAAUUGAGUUACUUUAGACUAGUAGGUUAAUUAAUUUUUAUUAAUUGCGCCAAUUAAUCAAGUAUUGUAUCUAAAAAAAUUAAAGUAUAUAUAUACGUAAUGUGGAAUUGUAGUCCAGCCUCUCUCUCUCUCUCUCGUAGCCGUAGGAUGCGUCUUCCCCGUAAUUCACCAUUUCUUUUUCCUUCAUUUGAUUUCCGAAAAAUAAAUAAUGCGGUCAUGAAUAUUGAUUCAAAGUAAGGUUUGUUCCCAUUUUCAUCACUAUAUAUAUUUGACAAAAUACAACAUUUAUAAUUUUCGUCGCCUUCUUCGAUGACGUUCUAGAGAUUUGAAUUUUUUUCCACAAAAAGGAUCAGUAGCCAGAACACUUGGUAGAAUUAAGUAUAGAAUGUAGAUAAUAUAUUAAUUUGUGGGAUAAUUGAAUAAAUAAUUAAAAAAAUCUAUGAUUAUAUAUAGACUUGAUCAUAAAUUUUUUAUUUUAAAUAUUAAUCACUCUACUACAAAAUCAAUAUACACACAUUUAUCAUUUAUUUGUAUAUCAUUAAUUAUUAUUGAUGCACGUCAUCAUACAUACUCCAUCCGUCCCACAAAUCUUGACACAUUUGGUUUCGGCACGGAAAUUAAGGAAUAGCUAGAAAAUUAGUGUUUUAAGUGUGUAAUUAAUAAAAUAUAAAAGUAAUAAAGUAGGAGAGAAAAUGUAAUAAUUAUUACCUUAUUUGGAAAUGUGUCAAGAUUCGUGGGAUAGUCCAAAAAGGAAAACAUGUCAAAAUUCAUGGGACGGAGAGAGUAUUAUGUUAGACGAUGUAUAUUAUUGUAACAUAUAAUAAGUGCCACGUUUGUUGAAAAACAAAGUUGCGUAUGUGGAAGAAAUAUAAGAUGUUAUAAUGUCAAAGUACGUGGAACUCACAUUUAUCUUGACUAUGAUGCACGAAAACCUAACUAAGCAUAAUUACAGAAGGAAAAUAAGGUUUGAUAGGCGAAAAAUUGGUUUUAGGGGUUGGCAGGUGGCAGAAGGUAAUCAAGAUUAAUUAUCAUCUUUCCACCAAAAAAGACAAUAAAACUUAAUUUAUUAUUAUAUGAUUCGUUUUACAAGUUUUUUUAAAAGUCAAAAACAUUUCUUUUAACCAUUAAUACUCUCACGUAUAAGAGUGUAUUCUUUUUUCUUUUCUUUUUCUUUUUUUAGAAUUAUAAGAGAUAUAAUUAAGGGUAAAUAUCAUGAAAAACCCUGAAGUAUACUCGAUUUAUCAAAAAUACCUUGAAACUUUCAAAAUGUUCUCUAAACCUUCAAACUAUCAGAUUUUUAUCAAAUAUAUCCCGUAUUUAUUUUUCGGUCACCAAAUACGUGAUGUGGCUUAUCGAAUGCCAUAAUGUAAUUUAUAUUCUAUUUUUUUAAAAUGCAAUGGCAAACACGACGUCGUUUCGUACCAUAUCAUUUUUAAAAAAAUCCGCUCUAAAAUUUAAAAUUCACUCCUACCGUGUUUGAAAUUCACGCUAAUAACCUAGAUUUAGGGAUAAACACGGUAUAAUAUGGUACGAAACGAAGUUAUUUUUUCCAUGUCAUUUAAAAAAAAUAGAAUUAAAUUACGAGCCACAUCACGUUUCUGGUAACUGAAAAAUAGAUGCAGGAUAUAUAUAUUUGAUAAUAACCUUAUAGUUUGAAGGUUUAGAAAAUAUUUUGAAAGUUUCAGGGUAUUUUUGAUAAAGUGAAUAUAGUUGAGGAGUUUUCAUGAUAUUUAACCUAUAAUUAAAUAAGUCCGCACGCAUGCAGGACCUCUACACCACACAAAAGUGGAAAAACUACUCGCACGUAGACGAGAUUAAUGAACCAAAGACCUCUCACAAAUGAGAGCUUUUGGAUGCCUCAACUUUACUACUUGAGUUAGGCCAUAUUGACAACAAUACGUUCUUUUCUUUACGAAAAAAGAGUGAAAAAAAAUUACAUAUUUCAUUUAUUUUAUAUUUCUUUUUCACAUAUCGUAAGGUGGAUAGUUUUCUUAGAGUAUAAUGGAAAAAAAUUGAGCAACUCUAUUUUUCUUUUUUUCACUCAAAUUUAUGAUAAUAUUAUCACGAGUUAUGAAUAUAUAUAAUAUAAUAUAAUAUAAUAUAAUAUAAUAUAAUCUAAUCUUUUUGGGAGUGUUGAUGUGAUAAACUAUAUUUAUAUGUUUUCCACUUUAAAGAACAUGAAAAAAAAACUGAGAUAGAUAAUUCUUUUCCUUCUCAUUAUAAAUUUACAAUUAAAAAGAGGCAUUAGGAGUCUUAUCAUUUAAAAUUUCCCCAAGGGACUUAAAAGUCAAAGUUAUGUCUAAACUACUGAUAUUAUAUGUAUUUUUGUGACGAUGUCGUUAAGUGACCAAUUGACUAGCCACAUAUAUUUUCCCAGCUUUAAAUUUUGGGAUAAUUAGCUCAUAAAUUACUAAAUUUUAAUCAAAAUUUUAGUUUUGCGCAUCAAUUUUAAAAUAUAUUCAUGACGAUUAAGUUUUCAAAUUCAUUUGAUUUUUCUCAUGAGUUGGAUACCAACCCAAUUUAGUGAGGUGAAUUCUAGCCCAAUAACAUGAUCGUAUGAAUUUUUGCCCUUAUGUUUGAAUUGAUUCCAAAUUAAUUAUGUACAAUUUCAAUCGGAAACAAUGAUAUUUUGAUAUGUUAAUUGGGUUGGAAUUUGGUUUUGCUAGGAAAAUCUUAUUAAAUUAAAAUAUUAGUAAUUAUUCGGAAACCAAUAUAUGUAUAAAAGUAGUUUUUUAUUAUAUAUAUACAAUUAACCCUAUACAUAUCUACAUCUAUAAUUUAUAUUUUUGCAAAAUAUAUAUGAGUAAUAAGUUUCGUUUGUAUUAUUGCUUACCGACAUGCUUGUUGUUCUUCAAUUAUGGGCCGCUCAGUUAUAAAUUUGUCGUCAUUUAAUUAAAUUACAUUGAUGGUACGUUGGUGAAUUAUUUUGUUGAGAGAUUUUGUUCUUAUAUUAUUUGUUUUUAUGAAGGCAAAAAUAUGAAAGUGAGAUGACGAUACGCGACAUUUAUAUACAAUAUGGGUAUCACAUCCUACAAAAUUAUACUCGUUGGCAGGCCAGGAAUUAAUUAUAUGUACGUGUCUAGGUUAGGGGGGGCUAGAGCCCCCUCCCAAAUUUUGAUUUUUUUUUAAAUAUAUAUAGAUAUAUGUUUAUACCUAUUAUAAAAUAAUUUUGUUUUAUAAAAGAGUAUUUGGUUAUUAUAUUCUCUCAUAUAUAUACUUAAUUUAAGGAUAAUUCUGUUAUUUAAAACUAUAUAAUCUAUGAAAUAUUGUUUGUUAUUAUUACUAUUAUACUUUGUCUUUUAAAUAAAAAAUGUCCUAAAUAUUGUAUAGAAAUGACUAAAAAAAAUUAUAAUGUAUUGAAACUAAUUUGUAAUAUAUAGAAAUAUAUAAUCUAUGAACAUGUUGUUUGUUAUUUAUUAUUAUUAUGCUUGCCUUUUAAUAAAAAAAUAUCUUAAAUAUACGGAAUGUCCAAAAAAAGUUUUGUGAUAUAUUGAAACUAUAUAAUCUAUGAAAAUAUUGUUCGUUAUUAUUAGUAUUAUGCUCGUAUUUUAAUAAAAAANCUUAUUCGAAAUGUUAAUUUUAGUCACAAUUAUUUUAGAAAAGAAAAAAAUAUGGAUCUGGGUCUGGACCCGAGACCCUGUGGAUCUAAUGGAUCUGGGUCUGGAUCCCAUUUUUUUGGAUCCAAUGGAUCUGGACCGGAUCUGGAUCUAAGUUAAAAACAUGGAUCUGGAUCUGGACCAAAUAGGAUCCGGUCCAGAUCCGGCCCAUUGCCAUCCCUACCUAGGUGUCACAAAAAUAUGACAUUCUCACAGGAUCCUCUCCCUUUAUUAGGGGUGGAAAAUCGGAUUGCGGGUAUCGGGUAUACCCUCACCCGUCCCGAUACCCGCGCGGGUAUCGGGUACCCGAUACCCGCAAAAUUCGGAUGGAGGGUCGGGUGCGGGUAUCGCAUCCUCAAAAAUUGCGGGUAGAGGGUACCCUCGGGUAUACCCGCGGAUACCCGCAUUACCCGCAAAUAACAUUAUAAAAUUAAAAUUAAAUAAUUUUAUUAGAUUUUACUUUUAGGAAUUAACCCCCAAAUCCCCAAAACUCCUCCUAGCCCUAAUUUUUAUGGAUAAUCGAUGAAAUAGAAAGGAUAUUUUCAAUUUUUUUUGUGAAAUGCGGGACAAAAUACCCUCUCGCGGGACAAAAUACCCUCUCGCGGGACGAAAUACCCUCUCGCGGGACGAAAUACCCUCCAGCAGGAUCAAAAACCCGCAAAAUUACAAUUAAAAAAAAAUCGCGGGACUGUGAGGGUACCCUCAUACCCGCAGCGGGUAUCCGCUGCGGGUAUUCGGGUAUCCGCUGCGGGUAUUCGGGUACCCGCAUCGGGGAAGAGGGUCGGGUGAGGGUGCCGUUUUCGGCAGUUUUCGUCCCGCGGGUACCCGCAUUUUGCGGGUAGGGUACCCGCGGGUACCCGAUUUUCCACCCCUACCCUUUAUAUAGGGUAUAUAUAUAACUAACACCUAUAAAAUAUAUAAGAAAUACAAAAUUAAAUACUACAAUAAAUUAUACUGCUAUGAUUGUGUUAUAAUUGAUAAAUUACAAUAAAAAACAUGCAUGAUUUGAAGUAGAAGAAAUAAAAAAAAUAAACAAAAAUAUUUUAAAAUAAGUUAUUUUCAAAAAUGAUAAGGUGAUUUUGGCGGAAAAACACAACUUAUUAUUUCUAAAAAUGGAUCUCCUAUAAAUUAAAUUGAUAAAUGAUGGAAUUAUAUAUGAUUUAAUUGUAUUACAUAUCACGUCUAGAAGAUGGUAUACAAAAUCUGAAUGAUCUAUAUAAAUUAUAAUACAUACCAGAUUUUAAUUUUAUAAAGGGUCUCAUAUUUUGAAUCAAAUAUGAUACUAAGAUGACAUAAAUAUUUUAUAUACUUUAAUAAAUUGUUACCAAAUAAGCCAUAUUAUAUUCUAGGUAACAAAAUGGCUACUAAAUUAAAUUUUGUAUAUUAAAAGUUAUAUAUAUAUAUAUAUAUAUAUAUAUAUAUAUAUAUAUAUAUAUAUAGAGAGAGAGAGAGAGAAGGGUUCAACAGAGAAGCUAAAUAUUGUGGAGAAUAGAGAAUUCGUAAAAUAAAAACGAACAGAUCUAUAAUUUUAAUGAACAGAUCAAUGUACCGCAUGAACAACAAUUUGCCCCGGGUUCGAAUCCUGCUGGUGGCGAGUUUUUCUAUAUUUUUACUAAAUACGUUUGUUCAUUACUUAUGUUGAUCUGUUCGUAAAAUAUAUAGAUUUGUUCGUUCUCUCGAAAAAGAUAAUUCUCUGUUGAACUCAACCCUAUAUAUAUAUAGAAAGAGAAAUUAGAUCAAAUAAAAAUUUCUCCAAACAUACAAAUUAUAAUAUAGUUUGCUCUUAAUUUAUAAAAUAUUUAUACUUUCGUGGUUUUGAAUUUAAAUUUCAAAGGAUUUCACCCGAUCCUAUAAAUAAAAACACAUUUUAUAAUAUAAAAUAUGAACUAUUUUCAGCCAUUAAAUCAUCAAGAUCUACAGUUGAUUCAUCACCUUAUUGGAUGAAUUCAUAGUCUCGAAUUCGAAUCUCAUAUGUAGCAAAAAAAUUACUUUUUUGCAAUUCAUACAUUUAUACAAUGAAUUCAUAUACUCCCUCCGUCCCUGAAAUAAGUUCCUCUUUUUCCAUUUUGGGACGUCCCCCAAAUAAGUUCCUCUUUCUUUCUUUCUAUUUUUGGACAACUACCCCACCACUAAUAAUACUUUAUUUAUCCUUACUUUUCACUUUUUCACCACUCCCAAUACUAAUUAUAACACUUUUUCACCUUUUCACCACUCCCAAUACUAAUUAUAACAUAUUUUUUUUCACUAUCAACACACUUUACCAUUUUUCUUAAAACUCGUGCCGUCCCCAAAGAGGAACUUAUUUUGGGGACGGAAGGAGUAUAUUCUAAUGAAUAGUAGUACCUAAGUAAUUAUUAAAAUGUAAAGCAUAAAUCAUAAUAUAUUUUUAGAUUUAUUAUAUGAAUAAUAUAUUAAAUUAUAGUACAAUUGUAAUAGGCAAAUCAAAUAUUGUAAAACAAUGCUCUUUUUAUAAUAGGUAUAUUUUAGUUAUAGGAACUUUUUUUUGUUUCUGUUUAUUAUAUUUAUUUCAAGAUGCUAUUUGCUGGAGGCUAUAUAGCAAAUUAAAUUACAAGAAAAAAUAGGUAAUAUAUUUGUAGAUCGAUCUUGAAUAACAACAGUUAAGGUUGAUGUGCUUGAAUUGAUGUGAGUUUACAAUACAUUAGAUGCAACUAGCUAGUAUGUAGAGGUAAAAUGAGAUACUAUCCUAUUUGAAAGAUGAAACAUAAAAUAUACCAUUUUUUUUUUAAAUAAUAAAAUUUACCCACUUAAGAUAUUUUUACUCUUAUGUGUAAUUCGCGCAUUGCUCGACACUGAAGCGUCGAGCAUUGAAAUGUCGAGCAUCAAGUGUCGAGCAACUAAGAACUGUACGCCAAGCGUCGAGCAUUGAACUGUCGAGCAAGGCGAGCAAUAGUUCAAAUUGAACUAUUGCUCGACACCUCGAGCAUCGAAUGUCGAGCAACUAAGAACUGUCGAGCGAGGCGAAGGCAUCGAGCGUCGAGCAAGGCGAAGAUAUCGAGUGUGGCGAGCAAUAGUUCAAAUUGAACUAUUGCUCGACAUUAAGUGUCGAGCAUGCCGAGCGAAGUUCGCGAAUCGAGCACUAUGGAACAAACGCGCGAAUCUUUGAAAUAUAUCAACUCAAUUCAAAAAUGUUGUUCAUAAACCAUAAAAUAGUUUUGAAUAACAGUAACUCAUGUAUAGAAGAACUCAAUAUACCUUUCAAACCACCAAAUUAUGAUCGAAUCGAAGAAACCCACAAUUGAAGAAGCUUUGGGGGUUUUGAAGAUGAAUAUUUAAAAAUUAUUUCGUUUUGAAGUUGCAGAGACAUAUUCACUACCAAUUAUAAGCGCCGACGGUGUGGAGGCGCAGUGGAGAGAGAGAGAGAGAGAGAAAAGUUUCUGCGAUUUGGAGGGAAGUGGAUUUGUUUGAUAUUUUGUUUUUGUUUUAAGGGUAUCUUAGUUCUUUCAACCUCCAAAAAAAUACAUUUUAUACAUUUAUUUUAUAAUGGAUAUAUUUUUAUUUUUU